rnacentral:rRNA from 1 species
CGCGUAGGCGGUUGAGUAAGUCAAAUGUGAAAUCCCCGGGCUUAACCUGGGAACUGCAUUCGAUACUGCUUAACUAGAGUAUGGUAGAGGGAAGUGGAAUUCCGGGUGUAGCGGUGGAAUGCGUAGAUAUCCGGAGGAACACCAGUGGCGAAGGCGACUUCCUGGGCCAAUACUGACGCUGAGGUGCGAAAGCGUGGGGAGCAAACA